rnacentral:rRNA from 1 species
GAUGAACGCUGGCGGCGUGCCUAAUACAUGCAAGUCGAGCGAACGGACGAGAAGCUUGCUUCUCUGAUGUUAGCGGCGGACGGGUGAGUAACACGUGGAUAACCUACCUAUAAGACUGGGAUAACUUCGGGAAACCGGAGCUAAUACCGGAUAAUAUUUUGAACCGCAUGGUUCAAAAGUGAAAGACGGUCUUGCUGUCACUUAUAGAUGGAUCCGCGCUGCAUUAGCUAGUUGGUAAGGUAACGGCUUACCAAGGCAACGAUGCAUAGCCGACCUGAGAGGGUGAUCGGCCACACUGGAACUGAGACACGGUCAAGACUCCUACGGGAGGCAGCAGUAGGGAAUCUUACGCAAUGGGCGAAAGCCUGACGGAGCAACGCCGAGUGAGUGAUGAAGGUCUUCGGAUCGUAAAACUCUGUUAUUAGGGAAGAACAUAUGUGCAAGUAACUGUGCACAUCUUGACGGUACCUAAUCAGAAAGCCACGGCUAACUACGUG